AGCUUGGUAACGCGGUGCGGCGGGAUGGACAGCUCGAAACAGGCCUGGAUCAGGGCGGAGGAAAUCGAAUCGUGGCCGCAACCGGCGCAGAGCGUCGAGAUCGAGCCUUCAUAGUCGCGAUGGGUGAAGCCCAAUUUAUUGGUCGGCAGCGCCGGAUGGCGAAGCUUCGGCUUGGUGAUCCAGGUCAUUCCGCCGCCUCUUCGGUCUUGGCGAUCGAGCGCUCGGAUAUC
rnacentral:misc_RNA from 1 species